rnacentral:rRNA from 1 species
CGCAAUGGGCGAAAGCCUGACGCAGCAACGCCGCGUGCCCGAGGAAGGCCUUCGGGUCGUAAAGGGCUUUUAGGGCUGAAGAGCAAGGACAGUAUCCCAGGAAUAAGUCUCGGCUAACUACGUGCCAGCAGCCGCGGUAAAACGUAGGAGGCGAGCGUUAUCCGGAUUCACUGGGCGUAAAGCGCGUGCAGGUGGCGCGGUAAGUUGGGUGUGAAAUCUCCCGGCUCAACUGGGAGAGGUCAUUCAAUACUACCGUGCUUGAGAGCAGAAGAGGAAGAUGGAAUUCCCGGUGUAGUGGUGAAAUGCGUAGAUAUCGGAAGGAACACCAGUGGCGAAGGCGAUCUUCUGGUCUGUUUCUGACACUCAGACGCGACAGCUAGGGUAGUAAACGGGAUUAGAGACCCCGGUAAUCCUAGCCGUAAACGAUGUGAACUUGGCGUUGGUGGGUUAAACUCCAUCAGUGCCGUAGCAAACGCGAUAAGUUCACCGCCUGGGGACUACGGCCGCAAGGUUA